GCUGCAACUCGCCUGCACGAAGUCGGAAUUGCUAGUAAUCGUAGGUCAGCAUACUACGGUGAAUACGUUCCCGGGCCUUGUACACACCGCCCGUCAAACCAUGAGAGUUGGCAACACCCGAAGUCGGUAGUCUAACCGCAAGGAGGACGCCGCCGAAGGUGGGGUUGAUGAUUAGGGUUAAGUCGUAACAAGGUAUC
rnacentral:rRNA from 1 species